rnacentral:lncRNA from 1 species
GUGGCCAGAUGAUGUAGUGCUCGGAGAGAUGAUGUAUAAUCCAGCUGAGGAGGAUGAAAAUCCUUUCUAAAUGUUUUGAAUUUCACAGGGUUUCAAUUCAGAAUGCAUACUGCUGUUUCAUAUUGUUCCAAACCCAUCGAUGCUCUGUGACCGUUCUCAAAUUCUUGCCAGUUUCCCAUAGCAAUUUCAUGCUGUUCUAUGGGUCUUGCCGGUUUAGACUGUCAAGAGCAGCAUUACUCUUAUUGCCACUACAACAGCAUCUGGGAAUGCAUGUUAGCAAAAUACCAUUGCCUUGAAGCCUGCAUUCAUUAGAGCACUGGCAUGAUUUCUGGUUUCUAUAUGCAAUCAUGCAGUCAGCAAUUGUAUAUUGAUCACAUAAUAUAUUAUGUUC